UGUCGCCGUGUGGAUUUUGAUCGGAUACCUGACACAUUUGGGGUUUAUUGCUGUGCUGAGUAAUCACGUAUAUGGAAGACUUGAGGCGAUGAGAUGUCUAGAAGGUGAAAGAAGUACUAAUGAUGGAUAAAACUGGAUUUAAAUUGACUAUUUGCUAUUCUCAGACCCAAGCGCUCUUGAAUUGUCUGUUAUAUUGUCAAGGCCUUAACUUGGUCAAAAAGGUUCUGAUGUUAAGUUUGUACUUUUUGUUAAAAAAGUUUUUAUUUGCUGACAAAUGUAGAUUAAAUGUAUAUUAAGAGUCCUGAAGUAAUAAAUCAUAACACGCAGGAUGUGAUGUAUGGAGGUCUGGAAAGCAGUUUCAUGUGGGUCAUCUAAUGUGAUUUUUAAUUAAGCUGUUAUGACAUUGAUAAUAGAGUGCAGAUUGCUUUGGGUUUGGAAUAACAACAACACCGGGUCGACCACUCUGGCACACUUUUUCCUCCCACAGCACCACUUUAAAGGCGAAAGCUUUUGUAAACUGGCCUUUCAACACUUGUUUUGAUUCCCUCCCGUAAUAUUAUGAAACAUCUCCUCGCAGUUUAAAAAACACAAAGACAGAAAAUCCAAUCCAACGGGUGAGCCGUGUCCAAUUACGUUUGCUGUAUCAUCAUUUUGCCCCGUUGCUCACUGCAAGGUUGCUAUGCAGGCUAGAGUAAACGAGUAGAUACUGGUGCCCAUAGUAUGUGGGGGAGGUUUUGCUGGCGAGAUAAACAAGAAGCCAGCCAUCGUUAGGCGUAAGGCACCAGAAACAUGGCGGCGGCAGUUAACUAUAAUGCUGUUUCACCAACCCGAAGGUCAGAGCUGGACAUAACGUGCAGGAUUUAAAAGGAAACAAAACACUAUUGAGAGAAGUGAAUAAUGCCCAAAGAUUUCCACUGGUCCCACUGCUGCAGAAAUGCCCUGAGGCUGAGUCUGGACUGAAGCCAAGGU